AAGGGGAGGAGGAUCUGGUUCCAGGUUCACUUUUUUGUACUGAGAUACGAGUGAUGAUAUAGGAACUCGAAGAAGAAGCACUGCAACCGCCCAAUCUUCAAAACAUUCAUCGGAGGAUCAAUGAAAUACUUGCAGCCUCAGGUGUGGAACACGAGGAAUUGGUAUCACUAGCUGAACCACUUUUAUCUGAUCUUCCAAAAGUGCUACGUCCACAAGAGCCAAAAUCUGUCUGUGUUGGAG